rnacentral:ribozyme from 1 species
AUGACACCUUGGAGUAGAAUCUUCGUUCUCCUUGUUGGAUAUACACUCAGAG